GACGAACGCUGGCGGCGCGCCUGACACAUGCAAGUCGAACGGAGUCAAGAGGAGCUUGCUUUUCUUGACUUAGUGGCGAACGGGUGAGUAACGCGUGAGUAACCUGCCCUGGAGUGGGGGACAACAGUUGGAAACGACUGCUAAUACCGCAUAAGCCCACGGAUCUGCAUGGAUCUGCGGGAAAAGGAUUUAUUCGCUCUAGGAUGGACUCGCGUCCAAUUAGCUAGUUGGUGAGGUAACGGCCCACCAAGGCGACGAUUGGUAGCCGGACUGAGAGGUUGAACGGCCACAUUGGGACUGAGACACGGCCCAGACUCCUACGGGAGGCAGCAGUGGGGGAUAUUGCACAAUGGGGGAAACCCUGAUGCAGCGACGCCGCGUGGAGGAAGAAGGUUUUCGGAUUGUAAACUCCUGUCGUUAGGGACGAUAAUGACGGUACCUAACAAGAAAGCACCAGCUAACUACGUG
rnacentral:rRNA from 1 species